rnacentral:tRNA from 1 species
GCGGGGGUGGCAGAGCCUGGUCAAAUGCGCUAGCUUGAGGGGCUAGUCCCUUAGUGGGUGCGCGUGUUCGAAUCACGUCCCCCGCA